AGAGGAGCUCUAAUGAGUAAAACACACAAAGAAGCCUAUGCUUUGCUAGAGGAGAUGGCAGUUAAUGCUUAUCAAUGGCCAACUGAGCGUAAUAUACUGAAGAGGGCUCUGCGAAUUCAUGAGGUAGAUGCUUUCACCACUCUCACAGCUCAAAUUGCUACUUUAUCAUGGCAACUUGGUUCGUUAACUACCAAUGCUAGUGUUGUUGUGAACCUAGAAAUAAAACAUAAAUUGUUUU
rnacentral:lncRNA from 1 species